rnacentral:rRNA from 1 species
CCUACGGGAGGCAGCAGUAGGGAAUCUUUCACAAUGGGCGAAAGCCUGAUGGAGCAACGCCGCGUGCAGGAUGAAGGCCUUCGGGUUGUAAACUGCUUUUAUAAGCGAGAAAUAUGAUGGUAACUUAUGAAUAAGGAUCGGCUAACUACGUGCCAGCAGCCGCGGUCAUACGUAGGAUCCGAGCAUUAUCCGGAGUGACUGGGCGUAAAGAGUUGCGUAGGUGGCAUAAUAAGUAGCUGGUGAAAUCUGGUGGCUCAACCAUUCAGACUAUUAGCUAAACUGUUAAGCUCGAGACCGUUAGGGGUAACUGGAAUUUCUAGUGUAGGAGUGAAAUGCGUAGAUAUUAGAAAGAACACCGAUAGCGUAGGCAGGUUACUGGGACGGUUCUGACACUAAGGCACGAAAGCGUAGGGAGCAAACGGGAUUAGAUACCCUUGUAGUC